rnacentral:rRNA from 1 species
CUCAGAACGAACGCUGGCGGCAGGCCUAACACAUGCAAGUCGAGCGCGCCUUUCGGGGUGAGCGGCGGACGGGUUAGUAACGCGUGGGAAUAUACCCUUUUCUACGGAAUAGCCUCUGGAAACGGAGAGUAAUACCGUAUGAGCCCUUCGGGGGAAAGAUUUAUCGGGAAAGGAUUAGCCCGCGUUAGAUUAGGUAGUUGGUGGGGUAAUGGCCUACCAAGCCUACGAUCUAUAGCUGGUUUUAGAGGAUGAUCAGCAACACUGGGACUGAGACACGGCCCAGACUCCUACGGGAGGCAGCAGUGGGGAAUCUUGGACAAUGGGGGCAACCCUGAUCCAGCCAUGCCGCGUGAGUGAUGAAGGCCUUAGGGUCGUAAAGCUCUUUCGCCUGUGAAGAUAAUGACGGUAGCAGGUAAAGAAACCCCGGCUAACUCCGUGCCAGCAGCCGCGGUAAUACGGAGGGGGUUAGCGUUGUUCGGAAUUACUGGGCGUAAAGCGCACGUAGGCGGACUGGAAAGUUGGGGGUGAAAUCCCAGGGCUCAACCCUGGAACUGCCUCCAAAACUAUCAGUCUAGAGUUCGAGAGAGGUGAGUGGAAUUCCGAGUGUAGAGGUGAAAUUCGUAGAUAUUCGGAGGAACACCAGUGGCGAAGGCGGCUCACUGGCUCGAUACUGACGCUGAGGUGCGAAAGUGUGGGGAGCAAACAGGAUUAGAUACCCUGGUAGUCCACACCGUAAACGAUGAAUGCCAGUCGUCGGGUAGCAUGCUAUUCGGUGACACACCUAACGGAUUAAGCAU